GCAAGUCGAGCGCGCCCUUCGGGGUGAGCGGCGGACGGGUGAGUAACGCGUGGGAACAUACCCAGAUCUACGGAAUAGCCUCGGGAAACUGAGAGUAAUACCGUAUACGCCCUUCGGGGGAAAGAUUUAUCGGAAUUGGAUUAGCCCGCGUUAGAUUAGAUAGUUGGUGGGGUAAUGGCCUACCAAGUCUACGAUCUAUAGCUGGUUUGAGAGGAUGAUC
rnacentral:rRNA from 1 species